ACGGGUGAGUAACACGUAGGUAACCUGCCACUCAGACUGGGAUAACGACCGGAAACGGUCGCUAAGACCGGAUACGCUUACAGGAGGGCAUCCUGCUGUAAGGAAAAGCGGAGCAAUCUGCUGCUGAAUGAUGGACCUGCGGCGCAUUAGCUAGUUGGUGAGGUAGCGGCUCACCAAGGCGACGAUGCGUAGCCGACCUGAGAGGGUGAACGGCCACACUGGGACUGAGACACGGCCCAGACUCCUACGGGAGGCAGCAGUAGGGAAUCUUCGGCAAUGGACGGAAGUCUGACCGAGCAACGCCGCGUGAGUGAAGAAGGUUUUCGGAUCGUAAAACUCUGUUGCCAGGGAAGAAAGGUUAGGAGAGUAACUGCUCUUGACUUGACGGUACCUGAGAAGAAAGCCCCGGCUAACUACGUGCCAGCAGCCGCGGUAAUACGUAGGGGGCAAGCGUUGUCCGGAAUUAUUGGGCGUAAAGCGCGCGCAGGCGGUCAUUUAAGUCUGGUGUAUAACCCAAGGGCUCAACCCGUGGUGGCAUUGGAAACUGGAUGACUGGAGUGUAGGAGAGGAAAGUGGAAUUCCACGUGUAGC
rnacentral:rRNA from 1 species